AGGACUCUUAACACCUGCUUUUGUGUCGUCUCUCAUUCCAUGCUCUAUCCUUUGUCUCAGCGUGGUCGGUCCAUCCAGAAGAAUCUUGAAUGUUCACAUGCCUCGUGACUUACGAAUGUAUAUUCACCGAUGUCAGAGAUCGGGACGUGUGCUUCCUGAGCUUAUUACUGUAACAAGUUUCUCCCAUGCUCCCGGGCAGAUUCUUCGUGUCUUCUCAUCCAGACUACUGACUCCGUUUAAGAUUACAUCCUUUUCUCCUUUGCGUUUACUGCAUUUGCCCUGUAAAACUCAUUCCCUUCGCCUCAUAGGACACCUAGAGACACCAGGGGCGUUCCAAGACUGGGCAUGAGGUGCAGGAGGCAUAACUGCCAGGAAUGGACUUUCCAGGCAUCUUUAUCUCUUACACGGAGAGGUCUCAGGGCCUCUCAGUGUGGUGUCUCUUUAUCUGGCUAGUUGGGCUUCCUCACAGCAUGGCUGCCUUGGGACAAGAAGAUGACUCAUGAGAACUGAAAGCUUCAAGACUCAGCAUUCCAACAGAAAGGCAGAAGCUAUGAAGACUUUUCCAGCCGAGGCACCGGAGUCACACAGCACCAUUUCCACUGCAUUCUCUUAUUUACAAGUGAAUCCCAAGCGUAUCCAGAUUCCGGGAGAGGGGAAUAAGACACUACUUCCUAUGGGGAGUGUGGCACAGUUCUAGAAGAACAUUGGGUAAUGGCUAUACUUGGAUAGUAUAAUCUACCACAGAGAGUGCUGCCCAAGCAUUGUUUGUGAAACAAGUAAAUAAAUAGUUCUUAAUGA